ACGGCAGCACGGGAGCAAUCCUGGUGGCGAGUGGCGAACGGGUGAGUAAUAUAUCGGAACGUGCCCAGUCGUGGGGGAUAACGCAGCGAAAGCUGUGCUAAUACCGCAUACGAUCCAUGGAUGAAAGCGGGGGAUCGCAAGACCUCGCGCGAUUGGAGCGGCCGAUAUCAGAUUAGCUAGUUGGUGAGGUAAAGGCUCACCAAGGCGACGAUCUGUAGCUGGUCUGAGAGGACGACCAGCCACACUGGAACUGAGACACGGUCCAGACUCCUACGGGAGGCAGCAGUGGGGAAUUUUGGACAAUGGGCGCAAGCCUGAUCCAGCAAUGCCGCGUGCAGGAUGAAGGCCUUCGGGUUGUAAACUGCUUUUGUACGGAGCGAAAAGGUCUUUCCUAAUACGAGGGGCUCAUGACGGUACCGUAAGAAUAAGCACCGGCUAACUACGUGCCAGCAGCCGCGGUAAUACGUAGGGUGCGAGCGUUAAUCGGAAUUACUGGGCGUAAAGCGUGCGCAGGCGGUUUUGUAAGACAGAUGUGAAAUCCCCGGGCUCAACCUGGGACCUGCAUUUGUGACUGCA
rnacentral:rRNA from 1 species